UACAGAGGUCCCAAGCGUUGUUCGGAUUCAUUGGGCGUAAAGGGUGCGUAGGUGGCGCCGUAAGUCAGGUGUGCAAUCUUGGGGCUUAACUCCGAAACUGCAUUUGAUACUGCGGUGCUUGAGGACUGGAGAGGAGGCUGGAAUUUACGGUGUAGCGGUGAAAUGCGUAGAUAUCGGAAGGAAGACCAGUGGCGAAGGCGGGUCUCUGGACAGUUCCUGACACUGAGGCACGAAAGCGAGGGGAGCAAACGGG
rnacentral:rRNA from 1 species